rnacentral:rRNA from 1 species
GAUGAACGCUGGCGGCGUGCCUAAUACAUGCAAGUAGAACGCUGAAGGAGGAGCUUGCUCUUCUGGAUGAGUUGCGCACGGGUGAGUAACGCGUAGGUAACCUGCCUGUUAGCGGGGGAUAACUAUUGGAAACGAUAGCUAAUACCGCAUGACAACAGUUAUUGCAUGAUAACUGUUUAAAAGGGGCAACUGCUCCACUACCAGAUGGACCUUCGUUGUAUUAGCUAGUUGGUGAGGUAACGGCUCACCAAGGCGACGAUACAUAGCCGACCUGAGAGGGUGAUCCGCCACACUGGGACUGAGACCCGGCUCAGACGCCUACGGGAGGGAGCAGUAGGGAAACUUCGGCAAUGGACGGAAAGCUGACCGAGCAACGCCGCGUGAGUGAAGAAGGUUUUCGGAUCGUAAAGCUCUGUUGUAAGAGAAGAACGAGUGUGAGAGUGGAAAGUUCACACUGUGACGGUAUCUUACCAGAAAGGGACGGCUAACUACGUG